UACGGAGGGAGCUAGCGUUGUUCGGAAUUACUGGGCGUAAAGCGCACGUAGGCGGCUUUGUAAGUUAGGGGUGAAAGCCCGGGGCUCAACCCCGGAAUUGCCUUUAAGACUGCAUCGCUUGAAUCCGGGAGAGGUGAGUGGAAUUCCGAGUGUAGAGGUGAAAUUCGUAGAUAUUCGGAAGAACACCAGUGGCGAAGGCGGGUCUCUGGACAGUUCCUGACGCUGAGGCACGAAGGUCAGGGGAGCAAACGGG
rnacentral:rRNA from 1 species